rnacentral:rRNA from 1 species
UUUAAUUGAAGAGUUUGAUCAUGGCUCAGAUUGAACGCUGGCGGCAGGCCUAACACAUGCAAGUCGGGCGGUAACAG